UGGCAGUCAUAUCACCUGGGAAGAGAGAGAGAGAGAGAGAAGGGGGGGGGGGGGGGUCAGAGGGUUGCCAGAGACGAAAAAUUGUUCAUAAUCUUGUGAGAACACACACUGUCUAACGUGCCAUGUGAAAUUCAAACAAUAUUAAAUUUUCUUCUUAUUUUCAAAGAGCCACAGUACUUAAUACCUGCUCGAGAUAAACCAAAAGGGUCAAGGUCUACAGAUGAUAUUAGGACAUCUGUCGGUAGGUGAGGCAGCUUGCUAUAGAAUACACAUAAACAUAUUCCGCGCCACCAGUGUUGCGCAGAAUUCAUGGUUUUCAACUGUGAUGAUGAGUUUCAUUUCGCUGACUGAAGAAAAGUUACUUUAAUGUUAAUGUUAAUGUAAUGUUAAUUACUCCUGCUUUAUUAGUCAAGCGUCGAUCGAUCGAUUAAAUCCCCCCAAAAUUUAGUUACUCUUUCAAAAGUUUUCUGUGUAAUAAGUAACUCAAUGGUAUUCUCAACUAAAAAGCCUUCUUCAUUUUUCGCCACGAUUAAAGUGGGUAUUACUGACAAACAUACAUAUUAUUUACCUGUUGAUUGUGCUAUGUAGUGCUCGUGUAACGGGUAGAUUCCCGAUAAAUUCUUGUUUGAGCUGCAGUCUUAGUGUAGGAGUUGCAAGCCUGUGUUUGCCCCUUCUGGGGCGUAGAGGGCGUGCUUGUAGGUGACAGGUCUCUGGCGGCCGAUGGAGCCGUCUUUAGAUGGUUUUGGUGUCUUGAGGACUCUUGCGGGGUUUGUUUAACUUUUUCUGACAAUACCCCAUAUUUGAAUUUUUAUUUAAGGCGGAGGGUAGCAGCGCUCAGGCCGGUGUCUACAGUGUAACAGUCUAGAGCAUUAAGAAUAUUUCGUGGUAAGCGUGUGUGUUGCUGGCGGCGGUAAACGGGGCGUUCGGUUGGUGGGCGGUAUCGCUUCUCGGCCUUUUGGCUAAGAUCAAAGUGUAGUAUCUGUUCUUAUCAGCUUAAUAUCUGAUACGAUCCCCAUGUGGGAUCUACGAUAUUAAUCUGAUUUUUGGACUAUGGCGAAGUGCUAGGGGCUUGCUCCACCUUUGCCGCGGAUCGGCCCGGUAUUGCAGUACCUCCGGGAUCGGUCCACUCCCCCCAGGGGAGGAAUAAACUCGAUCAUGAUAAUUGCCUAAGGCUAUGUUCUUAGGUACCGCCCUCGUGAUGUGGCGGGCUCAGAAGGCAACGUCACGGCUCCUGAAGAUGUUGCAGACCGCUCCUCCUAAAUGCUGACCACGCGCUGCAGCACGCCCUUCUGCAGGGAGCGGAGCGUGUGGUGUGACCUGACCGGACACUAGGGUGGCCCCCUGACACUCCCCCAGCGGCGGGCCACUGCCCGCUCAUCAACAUAAUUUUAGAUUAUUUUCACUAUGCAAGAUGUAAAAUAAAGAAGAAAGUUUGCCGGAGAUCGGCCCGGUAUUGAUUACCCUUGCCUUAAUGUUGGGUCCAUGCUCCAUCUGCCGUGGAUCAGUUCACCUUUGCCGGGGAUCGCCCCGGUAAUACAGUACCUUCAGGGUCGGUCUCCACCCCCAGGGGAAGAAUAAACACUCGUUGCAAUGUUAUACUGUGGAUCGGGUAGGUAUAUGAUCCGUGUGAGUGUCUUCGCCUUGCACGAAUCGGCUCUUUAAUCAAUCACGGUUCGUGUAAUCAAGGGUGGAGUGAAUACAAAAUUGUGUAUUCGAAUACUUCAAAUUCCAACGAAUACGAAUCGAAUUCUAAUACACUGAAAAGGUUUUAAAUCAUAUAGAAAUACGAAUACUUAAUGGAAGUAUACAUGAACACUUUUCAUUGAAAAAUACCUUGAUGACUCCGGAAGACGCCGCACCACUGUACUCACAAUAUCCCAUUUGCAAUAGGAUAGUAGAGAAAAAAAUCUGUAAAGCCUGUAUCAAUCUGGACAAUCAGUGGCAACUCAGCGAGUCAGACUCCAGACGCUGUGCUGCCAGUCUGCGAACUUAUUACAUACACCAACCAGCAAACAGUGCAUAAAAAAAAGAGAAAAAUGGGUUUCUUUUUUCGAGUGGUAAUUCCUUCGUGCGUUUCACUCAUACCGGAUACAAGAGUGAUUUCGGUGUUCACACUGACUCCCAUCACAUUACAUUUAGCUCAAAUUUUCAAAUAUGAUUUUUUCUUUAUCAGCAAGUUUCUUUGGAAAUAUUUACCUGUAGUUAAGUAUCUCCUCAACCGUUUUCUGUUAAGUCAUGAACUUUAUGGUGUUCUCAACUAAAUGUUUUGUUAUUUUAUGAUAGUAUAGAUUCUCGGGAAUCUUGUUUGAGACGCGAAUUAAAUGUCGGGAUGAUAAACCUGUGUUGGUUUGUUUGUUCAGUGUGACAGAUGAGCACUGAGGCCAACUUUACCUACCUUUCAUUGGAGAUUAUUAUUAUUAUUAUUAUUUUAUUUUUUAUGUUAGCCUUAUUUUAGUUCACUAAGGAAUGUGGAUUUGUUAGAUUUAUUUAGUAUUGCUACAAUAAUUGAUUUUCUAUUUACAGGGAAGGUAGCAUAUUCAAUACUGCAUUCUGCAAAAUAUACAUUGUGCUAUGUAUUUAGUAAAGAUUAUUCAGUAAUAAUGACAAAUAAGAUCAUCAUUUAAAGACUAAUAAAUAUGGAACACUAAAUACUACAAUGUAGGAAGCAGACACUAUAAAAAAAGAAUAAUCAGUAUUAGUUUCCUUUAAGCUCUCAUUCCAUUCUCCAUCAUAUCAACUGUAUGUAUUUUAUUCACCCGGGGAGAUUUUGGUUAUACUAAUCAUUGGGUAUAGGCCAGCGUGGCCAGGGCAGGUUAGACUAUAUUUUCCAGGUUUGGUUAGGUAGUAGUAGUGAAUUUAUUUACUGUAUUUACAAAAGUAGUGAAUUUCUUUUCAACUUACAUUGUGCAAACAAACAAAUACAAUUAUGCAGCUGAGCAAAAAGAGGUGUUCCCUGUACCUCAGUGUCCAUGUAGCACUUGUUCAGCGAGUCGGUUCCUGUGAAAACGUUUUGAGUGACAAGGAAGGUUGGGGUGAAAAGUCAUCUUCGUCUCAGCGCCUAUAAGCGGGGAGCAGGCCAAGCCGCAGAGGCUCUCGGCUGGCCCGGGGAGCCGCCCUUCCGGAGCUUUGGGAUGCUGCGAACACUCCUGCUAGGAUUUUUUAGCUUUUCCUCUCAGAGACAUUGAGCCGAAUUAUAUCUCUGGCGGCUGGUUGCGCCGCGCGACCCGUUGAGUAAAGAGUGACCGUCAGGCGAAUGAGGAAUAUUUUGUGAUGAGCGUGUGUGGAGCUGGCGGCGUCAGCACACACAUACACACUUGUUGUAUCAUAAUAUUAACAGCAAUAAAAAUUCAAUAUACAAUUCAGAUUGAAAGUUAUUUAUGGUUUAGGCGUUGAAAACGGCGGAACUGCACAACAGCACAGACUGCGGUGGAAAGUUCUUUAUUGUAGCUGACAACCAUGGCAGAAAACCUGCGCUUUUCAGGGUAACUAAGUCUUUUAAAUAAUAUGUUUUGCGAAAAAUGUUGAUUUGUUUGCAAAUCAGUGCUUAUGAUUCCAAAAUUUGCAUAUGAUUAUACAGCAAGUCCACUUUAGUUCCAUAAUUUAUCCCCACAAGUCCCUCUCAACACCGGCUUGGGGUUAUAAUGCACACAGGUAAUUUUUUCACCUGCCUCCUGUUGCGCCGUAGCGUAUUGGGGGCCGCCGCGGCCCGGGGAAGGUAUGAUCAUACUUCAUAGGAUCACUUCUAUAGUAUGACAGCCAAGUUCCCUGACCGAAACUUGGAGUGACCUCACGCCACGAUGGCGAGGCUAAGUGUCCGGCCCUGAGCGGGAAGCUGCCCCGUGGCCUGGCCAGGGGCUUGAGGACCGUCCACCACCCGUUCGCGGGGCGUGGCGGGCCGAGCACAGGCUGAGUGGUGGAGGACUAUAGAGGAUCUUCCUUUUUUUUGAUACUCCUCCCGCAUGGGAGGAAAUAAUACCUAAUAUCUUCGUUCCCCCGAGCUAUCUCUAGGCAGUUUUGGGUGUUUCGACUUUCAAGCACUCGUGCUUGAAAUUUGAUUUAAGGCGGAGGGUGGCAGCGCACGGCCUGGUGUCGGCAGUGUAACAGUCAGAUCAGAGUAUGAGGAGUAUUUCGUGGUAAGCGUGUGUGUAGCUGGCGGCGCCGCGGUUGGUGGGAUCUACGAUAUUAAUCUGAUUUUUGGGCUUGGUUUACCUUUCCUGCGGAUCGGCCCGGUAUUGCAGUACCUCCGGGAUCGGUCCACUCCCCCACGGGAGGAAUAAACUCAUGAUAAUGUUAUGAGGUGAAUGAAGGAGGCAUGAUUCAUGCGUUAGUGCUUGGGCUUUGCUUUGCACGGAUCAGCUCUGUAAUUUCGUGUCUCUGGGGUAGCCAGAAACGUGACAUAUAUUAUGCUAAGAUGAGGGCCAUAUGCAGUGGGGUUGCUUCACCUUUGUCACGAGUCAGCCCGGUCGUCUCGCAACUCCGGGAUCAUUUUCACUUCCCCAGGGGUGAAAGAAACAAGAUGAAUACGGAUAUUAGUCCAUCGUGUGUUGUUCACCACGGCCUGAUCACGAGCUGGACUUAUCGCUACCUCUCUCCCGAUUAGUGCAAACUCAGCAUAGUUGAUCUGGGUAUUGCUAGAUGUGGGGGUGUGAGUGUCUAGAGAAAGUAACCUUGAAGCUGCAUCUGUGAUUUUUUUUCUUUAAGUGCCGAUUCCUUCCCUGCGCUUCGCUCAUACCACAAGUGUUUUCGGUGUUCAUACUGAUUCGUCACCUUAUAUAUAGCUUCAUUUUUUUCAAGUGUCAUCUUUUCUUGAUCAAGAAAUACCUUUGUCCCAUCAGUAACUUCAGGGUAUGCUCAACUAAAAUGUUUUGUUCUCUUUUCUUCAUGAGUUAAGGGGCUCUCACACAUUCCCGGUCCCGGUCGCGACCGUCCCCGACGACUCCCGAUAAGCCGGUCACCGGUCGACCGGCUGUAAGAUCGGGGAUUGUCGGCGGUAGACCGCGAGUGAACACCUGUGUCUGACCUGGGGAUUAGCAAGAGAGGAAGGAGGAAAACGAGGAGGAACAGGAAGAUUUUGUGGAGCGCGCGUGUGGAGCCUGUGUGCUGUGUGCUGCUGCAGCGCGUCAGGCUGGGUUUCUGCGCCAGGGAGGAGCUGUACGACGGCUUCCGGGGGCAGGAGUGCGACCACUGCGGGAGAAACAGCCGCCACCCUCUGCUGCACUACCUCCUGUCCUGCCCGGCCACCGCCACCCUCAGAACACAGUCGCCAACACUCGCCCAGCCUGCAGGCGGCGUCCUCCUUAGCAGACGCGAGGCCAGGGCGGCCCAUCUCGUCCGCCACACGCCCAGGGAAGUGAUGCUGCGGGUGCUCAGGGCGGCACCCCCGCCCCGUUGACCUGACCUGCCCGCAACACGCUCACCACCACAGGAAGAAGUCUGUGAGCAGCACAGCGCCCACACCGACACUCUGAUUCCCUCACCGGCGGGCUGGUGCCCGCUUUGCAUAUAAUAUUGUAUAUGUUUUUUUUUUUUUUUUUAUUUUUUUUUUUUUUUAUUAUCAUGUAAUGUAUGUGAUUUAUGUGCAAUAUACCUUUAACUGAAGAGUUCAGCCUUAGAGAUAGAUGAGACGGCAGUGUUGCCGUCAGGACUGAGGAGUGGAGGGAAAGAUGAAGAAGUGAAGUUGGAGGAGAUGUUUUUGGCUAGAUGCCAGAAGUCACGGGAAGAGUUAGAGAAAGCAAGGUUUUGACAUUUUCUAUUAAUGAAAGAAUUUUUGGUUAGUUGGAGAAUAGAUUUGGCACGAUUUCGGGCAGAAAUGUAAAGUUCAUAAUUAGCAUUAGUUUGAAGGCUCUGGUACCUUUUGUGAGCUACCUCUAUAUCAUUGACAGCACGAGAACAAGCGUAAUUAAACCAAGGCUUUUUAGCGUGAGGAGUAGAGAAAGAACGAGGAAUGUAUGCCUCCAUUCCACUUCAUGACAUAAUAACAUGCUCUAUAAAUACAGGAAAAGUGCCCUUAGAGUGGAAGAGAGUGAACAUUGUACCAGUUUAUAAAAGUGGAGAUAAAACUGAACCAUUAAAUUAUAGACCAGUCUCUUUGACAAGUGUAAUGUGCAAGAUCUGUGAAAGUAUAAUAAAAAACAAUGGGUUGAACAUUUAGAAAAGGGAAACAUGAUAAAUGAAGGACAGUUUGGAUUUAGAAAAGGGAAAUCGUGUGUCACCAAUUUACUAUGUUUCUACUCAAGAGCAAUAGACGUGGUGCAAAAGAGAGAAGGCUGGGCUGAGUGUGUUUAUCACAAUUUGAAAAAGCUUUUUACAAGGUUCUGCACAAAAAGCUAAUCUGGGAAUUACAGAAAUGGGGAGGAAUGGGCAGAAAGGUCAUUGAGUGGAUGAAGGAUUACUUAACCCUUAGAGUACGGGUGGCAAGAUAUUUCUAUGGAUGGUGUGCACAGGGAAAAUUUAGACAUUUAAAAGAGGUGGAAAUGGUGUCUUUCUUCUUUCCAAUAAUUGUAUACUCAUCUAGUAUAUAUGGUGGUGUAAUAAAACUUCUCUCCUAAUAAAAUAAAAAAAAGUUA